GACGAACGCUGGCGGCGUGCCUAAUACAUGCAAGUUGAGCGCUGAAGGUUGGUACUUGUACCAACUGGAUGAGCAGCGAACGGGUGAGUAACGCGUGGGGAAUCUGCCUUUGAGCGGGGGACAACAUUUGGAAACGAAUGCUAAUACCGCAUAAAAACUUUAAACACAAGUUUUAAGUUUGAAAGAUGCAAUUGCAUCACUCAAAGAUGAUCCCGCGUUGUAUUAGCUAGUUGGUGAGGUAAAGGCUCACCAAGGCGAUGAUACAUAGCCGACCUGAGAGGGUGAUCGGCCCCAUUGGGACUGAGACACGGCCCAAACUCCUAAGGGAGGCAGCAGUAGGGAAUCUUCGGACAUGGACGAAAGUCUGACCGAGCAACGCCGCGUGAGUGAAGAAGGUUUUCGGAUCGUAAAAAUCUGUUGGUAGAGAAGAACGUUGGUGAGAGUGGAAAGCUCAUCAAGUGACGGUAACUACCCAGAAAGGGACGGCUAACUACGUG
rnacentral:rRNA from 1 species